AUUGAACGCUGGCGGCAGGCCUAACACACGCAAGUCGAGCGGGGUUUUCGGACCUAGCGGCGGACGGGUGAGUAAUGCGUAGGAAGCUACCCGAUAGAGGGGGAUACCAGUUGGAAACGACUGUUAAUACCGCAUAAUGUCUACGGACCAAAGUGUGGGACCUUCGGGCCACAUGCUAUCGGAUGCGCCUACGUGGGAUUAGCUAGUUGGUGAGGUAAUGGCUCACCAAGGCGACGAUCCCUAGCUGGUUUGAGAGGAUGAUCAGCCACACUGGAGCUGAGACACGGUCCAGGCUCCUACGGGAGGCAGCAGUGGGGAAUAUUGGACAAUGGGCGCAAGCCUGAUCCAGCCAUGCCGCGUGUGUGAAGAAGGCCUUCGGGUUGUAAAGCACUUUCAGCGAGGAGGAAGGGUGGUGUGUUAAUAGCACAUCAUUUUGACGUUACUCGCAGAAGAAGCACCGGCUAACUCUGUGCCAGCAGCCGCCGUAACAC
rnacentral:rRNA from 1 species